GCCAUUUCCCCGUCCCUCCAGAGCCUGCUCCCCUCCCCCUCCUCCACCUUUAUUCGCACAAAUGAAUGUGGCUGGGCUGGCUCAGAGCCUGGCCCUGCAUCUUAAUGGGGCGGUGAGCUCACAAGAUGGAUUUAGCUGGGGGUUUUAUGGUUGCCGCGGCGACAGGAGAAUGCUUUGGUUUUCUUUCCCCCUUCCUCCGCAGGAUUUUAAGGAGGGGGGAGCGUGGGGAGCCCUCCUCCGCACUGCAGUUUUGAAGGGUCUCCUCAGUCACCUCUACAGCUCGUAAGAUGGGCCUUCAAUCCCAGGAGUAAGCCAGAGAGACCACAUUAGGACCUCGGGAAAGGAGGAGGGAAGGAAGGUGAUGGGAGUGGGAAGAGCCUCUCCAGCAUCAAGACAUGAAACCGAGUUGUCCAGUCUUGCCUGCUGUAUGAGAACCUGGCAGUUAAGCUCGUCAGCUGUGGGGCACCUGUGCCCAGAAUCCCCCCUCAGCAGCAGCCUCCUUCCUUGAAGAACCCCACAGCAACCCCGUGUCCCAGUGUUUCUGAUUUCCCGGGGGCCAUUCCCAAGGUCCUUCCGCAUCUUAAGAAUCCUGGCUUUCUUGCUCAGAAUGCUGGCCUGCUGGAAUGUGCAGUCGGGAUCCGUAGCAUCAAGAGGCCCCAACCCCUGGCCGCCCACCCCCAGUGCCUGCUCACCAGCUGCUCCUGUCCAUCUUCUCCUCCCACUCUUGUGUCUCUCCCCCCUCCACCGCGACCCCUCCCCCAGCCUCUGACCCCCCAGCCGCCUGGGGCCCCAGGUUGGAGGGGAGACAAAGACAGGAUUUAUCAUCAGGACAGAGAGGCAGCCAGAGCGCAGGGCUGAGGGCAGUGGCUGACCUCCCUGGGAUGGGAGGGAGUGCUUGGCCAGAUGCUGGGAGGCUGGAAGCCUGGGUUCUGAUGGCUUCGGCUCACAACCCCCAACUUUUCUCACUCCAGCCUUGCUCUCUCCCUUGUCCCUGAAGAGUUAGGAAACAGAGAGAGGAUGGCCUCGGGGUGAUUUUAGGCCUCUGAGGGAAAACCCGGGAAGAGGGAAGGGAGGAGACUGACAUCUCAGGGUCAUUCUCUUAUGCGUACAGAGGAAGAUUCGGGAACCAGAAGCAAUCAGGCAGCAGUUGUUUCCAGGACUAGAAAGGAGUUCAGGUGUAUAACUGCAACCGAUGAGAUGCAGGCCUCUAAUACAGAAGGACUUCUCCAGAACAGGCCCUGAUUGCCAGUAGAGAGAAAGAAAGGUCCUUCCAGAUCCUGGAAGAUGGGAGAUCCAGGCUUACCUGAAAGCGAGGGAAGACAUGGGUCCCCCCAAGGGUUAUUAGCUCCAACCCCUCUGAGGAGACCUUCCUCCCUGAGAUCCCCAACUGCCUCCUGAGAGGUUGUGAGGAGCAGCUGGACCCUGCCUUUACAAUAAAGAGACUAUUGGCCAGAAAUCGUCUCUACUCAGCAGGCAGGGUAUGUGGGCAAGGAGAGGGAACGGUAUGAUCCAGGAGUUUCCGAGAAACCAGCCCAUGUAUCUUUCCGUGGACAGCUGCAGCUCCCCUAGCUGCCCUUGGAGGCCCACGAGCCCGUCUAGCACCGAGUCUAGCACCUCAGUGCGUCGGAGGGCUCCACAAACUCAACUCUGAAGCUCUCACACCCAUUCCAGCUCCUGGCACCCGAUAUCCUGCUUCCUGCCUCUUUACCCUCCUGUCCUGGGAGAAGGCCGCCAGAGUUAUCCCCAAGUGAGAAGAGGCUGGGAGGAAGAGAAACUGAGGCAACUGGGUGUUUCCAGCCUCCUGGCCUCUCACCACAAUCCCGCCAACCCAUUCCCACCCGGGAUUUGGUGAAGGAGACCUUCUCGCAGUUUCCUUCUACAAGCUGAAAUCACUGUCUCAAUUCCUGUGGAAAGCCACACGUUUGGAAAUUUUAGUGGCAAAGGGUCAUGGAUUGGGAGAGGACAAAAGAAGUGGGGUGGGGGAUGGCGGAUGGUGCAUGGGGG